CUGUGGCGAGAGGCCGGGUUGGGUCAAGUCACGUUCAAAAUGGCGUGAGGCUUGGUAGACCGAGUCAUGUUCGAAGUGGCGUGAGGCCGGGCAGGUCAAGUCACAAUUGAGACCCGCCGGCGCUGUAUCUGUACGCUUUAAGUGAAUUGGUUGCGUAUUUCUAACAGCUCUAGUUUUUGAGAUUAAUGGUUAGCGCUAACGAUUCGACAAGUGGUAUCAGCGCUAGUGGGCAUGGGUUCGAUUCCCGCAUGCUGCAAAUGUUUUCAGGUAUCGGAAAGGAGAUUGUUGGCUUAAAUGGGCUGGGUAGGCCAAGUCACAAUUGAGAUCCAUGGGCUCUGUAUUUGUACGUUUUAAGUGAAUUGGUUGUGUAUUUCUAAUAGCUCGAGCUUUUGGGAUUAAUGGUUAGCGCCAACGAUCCAACAAUCUCUAGCCAGGAUCGAAAGCUGAACUUUCCGAUGACAGGCUAGGAUUUUGGGC
rnacentral:lncRNA from 1 species